ACCAAUGAAACAAGAUGUUUGUGAUGCACCCGACUAAUAAUUUCUAUUUCUGCCUGAAAUUCACGCUCUCCUUGCCCACUUCCAGCUUUUAGCUGCUUAACAGCCACUUCUUUCCCAUUAGGAAGGACUCCUCUGUGGACAUACCCAAAACCACCUUGACCAAGGAGGUUAGCAUCUGAGAAACCAUCUGUGGCCCUUGCUAAUUCCUCGUAGGUAAAAGUGCUCUUUGAGAAUCCCAAAGCAAUGCCUGGCGAAGGUGGCGGAAGCGGAUUUUCAGACCCAGAGUAAUUGGAGCUAG
rnacentral:misc_RNA from 1 species